rnacentral:rRNA from 1 species
UACGAAGGGGGCUAGCGUUGUUCGGAAUUACUGGGCGUAAAGCGCACGUAGGCGGAUAUUUAAGUCAGGGGGUGAAAAUCCCCAGAGCUCAACUCUGGAACUGCCUUUGAUACUGGGUAUCUCGAGUAUGGAAGAGGUGAGUGGAAUUCCGAGUGUAGAGGUGAAAUUCGUAGAUAUUCGGAGGAACACCAGUGGCGAAGGCGGCUCACUGGUCCAUUACUGACGCUGAGGUGCGAAAGCGUGGGGAGCAAACAGG